GACGAACGCUGGCGGCGUGCCUAACACAUGCAAGUCGAGCGGAGAACGUUCUUCGGAACUUUCUUAGCGGCGGACGGGUGAGUAACACGUGGGUGACCUGCCUUAUAGAGGGGGAUAGCCUUCCGAAAGGAAGAUUAAUACCGCAUAACAUUUUUGUUUCGCAAGAAAUAAAAAUCAAAGGAUCAAUCCGCUAUAAGAAGGACCCGCGGCGGAUUAGCUAGUUGGUAAGGUAACGGCUCACCAAGGCGACGAUGCGUAGCCGACCUGAGAGGGUGAUCGGCCACAUUGGAACUGAGAUACGGUCCAGACUCCUACGGGAGGCAGCAGUGGGGAAUAUUGCACAAUGGGGGAAACCCUGAUGCAGCAACGCCGCGUGAGUGAGGAAGGCCUUCGGGUUGUAAAGCUCUGUCUUCGGGGACGAUAAUGACGGUACCCGAGGAGGAAGCCACGGCUAACUACGUGCCAGCCGCCGCGGUAAUAC
rnacentral:rRNA from 1 species